UCGAGACCGAACGAACGGACGACCGCGAACGCGUUACACAUCCUUACCCAACAAUACUCCGGCUCGUCCCGCCCCUCCUCGCGGCGCGGCGUGGCGAGACGGAGGAAACGAAACCCCGGCGCGGUGGGCGCCAAGGAACACUUUUUGGAAGCGCCGUCGCGGCCUCCCCUCCUCCCCCCAUACCUACCUUACCUACGACGUAUGUAUGUAGGUAGGGGGCGGAGGAGGAGGGGGACGCGGACGUGGAUAUAGAUAUAGAUAUCGUAUUCUGUACGACUCUCGGCAACGGAUAUCUAGGCUCUCGCAUCGAUGAAGAACGUAGCGAAAUGCGAUACUUGGUGUGAAUUGCAGAAUCCCGUGAACCAUCGAGUCUUUGAACGCAAGUUGCGCCCGAGGCCAUCCGGCCGAGGGCACGCCUGCCUGGGCGUCACGCCUCCCGUCGCUCCCCACCAUCGUCGUGCGGAUGCGGAGAUUGGCCCGCCGUGCCUCGUGCGCGGCGGGUCGAAGUGCGGGCCGUCGUCGGGCCGGGCGCGGCGAAUGGUGGACGAAUACAACAUCGUUGCCCGCUCUCCGUGCCCCGGCCCCCAGCAACGCGCGACGUGCCGUCGAAAGGACCCCUCACCGAGGACCCCCGUCCUCGGAACG
rnacentral:misc_RNA from 1 species